rnacentral:rRNA from 1 species
GACGAACGCUGGCGGCGUGCCUAAUACAUGCAAGUCGAGCGAGCGGAACCAACAGAUUUACUUCGGUAAUGACGUUGGGAAAGCGAGCGGCGGAUGGGUGAGUAACACGUGGGGAACCUGCCCCUAAGUCUGGGAUACCAUUUGGAAACAGGUGCUAAUACCGGAUAAGAAAGCAGAUCGCAUGAUCAGCUUUUAAAAGGCGGCGUAAGCUGUCGCUAAGGGAUGGCCCCGCGGUGCAUUAGCUAGUUGGUAAGGUAACGGCUUACCAAGGCAACGAUGCAUAGCCGAGUUGAGAGACUGAUCGGCCACAUUGGGACUGAGACACGGCCCAAACUCCUACGGGAGGCAGCAGUAGGGAAUCUUCCACAAUGGACGCAAGUCUGAUGGAGCAACGCCGCGUGAGUGAAGAAGGUUUUCGGAUCGUAAAGCUCUGUUGUUGGUGAAGAAGGAUAGAGGUAGUAACUGGCCUUUAUUUGACGGUAAUCAACCAGAAAGACACGGCUAACUACGUG